UACGUAGGGUGCGAGCGUUGUCCGGAUUUAUUGGGUUUAAAGGGUGCGUAGGCGGCUUAAUAAGUCAGUGGUGAAAGCCGAUCGCUUAACGAUCGAACUGCCAUUGAUACUGCUAGGCUUGAGUAUAGUUGAGGUAGGCGGAAUUGACAGUGUAGCGGUGAAAUGCAUAGAUAUUGUCAAGAACACCAAUUGCGAAGGCAGCUUACUAAAGUAUAACUGACGCUGAGGCACGAAAGUGCGGGGAUCAAACAGG
rnacentral:rRNA from 1 species